GUCUGACUGAAGUGGGCAAGAGCAGAAGCAGGAAGGCCAGUUAGGAUGCUGUAUGGUCCGGAUGACAGCAGAUGGUGACAUGGACCAGGGCAGUGGCAGAGGAGGGGACAAGAAACGGUAAGAAACAAAGAAAUGACUUACCCGGGAUCACACCUGAGAAAUCACCAGGGUCAUUUCACGCCCGAUUCCAUGUGACUCCAGUUCUAUGUGACACCCUUUGAAGUGGUUGGGAUCCAGACAUGAGGUCACAAUCAACUAAUUCACCUUUCAAAUGUUUUUUGAACCUCGACUGAAUGCUGGCACUGUGCUGGUUCUUACCGUCAGGAGCUUAGAUUCCAGUCGGAGGGACAGAGCAAAGAAGUGAACAAAGUCAAUAUGUGCUAUAAAGUAAAUAUGCGUUUUUAAUAAAGAAUGGUUAUGAC
rnacentral:lncRNA from 1 species